CCUACGGGGGGCAGCAGUCGCGAAAACUCCGCAAUGCGCGCAAGCGUGACGGAGCGACGCCGCGUGGGUGAUGAAGGCCUUCGGGUUGUAAAGCCCUGUCAGCUGCCAAGAAUGGCGGGUCGUGAAUAGCGAUCCCGUUUGACUAAGCAGCAGAGGAAGCACCGGCUAAAUACGUGCCAGCAGCCGCGGU
rnacentral:rRNA from 1 species